rnacentral:rRNA from 1 species
UACGGAGGGCGCAAGCGUUGUUCGGAAUUACUGGGCGUAAAGCGCGUGUAGGCGGCUUUGCAAGUCGGGUGUGAAAGCCCUCGGCUUAACCGAGGAAGUGCGCCCGAAACUGCAGAGCUUGAGUACCGGAGAGGAUGGCGGAAUUCCCCAAGUAGAGGUGAAAUUCGUAGAUAUGGGGAGGAACACCGGUGGCGAAGGCGGCCAUCUGGACGGAUACUGACGCUGAGGCGCGAAAGCGUGGGGAGCAAACAGG